AUUGAACGCUGGCGGCAUGCUUUACACAUGCAAGUCGAGCGGCAGCGCGGGGGCAACCCUGGCGGCGAGCGGCGAACGGGUGAGUAAUGCAUCGGAACGUACCCUGGAGUGGGGGGAUAACGCCGCGAAAGCGGCGCUAAUACCGCAUAUGCUCUGAGGAGGAAAGUGGGGGACCGCAAGGCCUCACGCUCUGGGAGCGGCCGAUGUCCGAUUAGCUAGUUGGUGGGGUAAAGGCUUACCAAGGCGACGAUCGGUAGCUGGUCUGAGAGGAUGAUCAGCCACACUGGGACUGAGACACGGCCCAGACUCCUACGGGAGGCAGCAGUGGGGAAUUUUGGACAAUGGGGGCAACCCUGAUCCAGCCAUGCCGCGUGAGUGAAGAAGGCCUCGGUUGUAAG
rnacentral:rRNA from 1 species